AGUGGCGGACGGGUGAGUAACGCGUAGGAAUCUGCCUGGUAGUGGGGGACAACUCGGAGAAAUCCGAGCUAAUACCGCAUACGCCCUACGGGGGAAAGCGGGGGAUCUUCGGACCUCGCGCUAUCAGAUGAGCCUGCGUUGGAUUAGCUAGUUGGUAGGGUAAAGGCCUACCAAGGCGACGAUCCAUAGCUGGUCUGAGAGGACGAUCAGCCACACUGGGACUGAGACACGGCCCAGACUCCUACGGGAGGCAGCAGUGGGGAAUAUUGGACAAUGGGCGCAAGCCUGAUCCAGCAAUACCGCGUGUGUGAAGAAGGCCUGAGGGUUGUAAAGCACUUUCAAUAGGGAGGAAAAAGCGUUGGUUAAUAGCUGAUGCCUUGACAUUACCUAUAGAAGAAGCACCGGCUAACUCCGUGCCAGCAGCCGCGGUAAUACGGAGGGUGCGAGCGUUAAUCGGAAUUACUGGGCGUAAAGCGUGCGUAGGCGGCUGUUUAAGUCAGAUGUGAAAGCCCCGGGCUUAACCUGGGAACGGCAUUUGAUACUGGGCAGCUAGAGUUUAGGAGAGGAGAGUGGAAUUUCCGGUGUAGCGGUGAAAUGCGUAGAGAUCGGAAGGAACACCAGUGGCGAAGGCGGCUCUCUGGCCUAAAACUGACGCUGAGGUACGAAAGCGUGGGUAGCAAAC
rnacentral:rRNA from 1 species